UACGGAGGGGGCUAGCGUUGUUCGGAAUUACUGGGCGUAAAGCGCACGUAGGCGGCUUGGUAAGUUAGAGGUGAAAGCCUGGAGCUCAACUCCAGAAUUGCCUUUAAGACUGCCGAGCUAGCAGGUGAGAGAGGUGAGUGGAAUUCCGAGUGUAGAGGUGAAAUUCGUAGAUAUUCGCAAGAACACCAGUGGCGAAGGCGGCUCACUGGCUCGGUACUGACGCUGAGGUGCGAAAGCGUGGGGAGCAAACAGG
rnacentral:rRNA from 1 species